rnacentral:lncRNA from 1 species
ACAACCGAAGAUAAUCAAUUCAUAUUACAAAUAUAUUCAUGGCUUUGAAUUAACGUCUAGCCAAAAUAACUUUAAUUACACAUUAUUAAAACAAAAAUAAAAUAGAAGUUUGAAAAGAUUUAACCGAGAGAAAUGGAGUGAAGCCUCUAAUUUUCUUCUCACUGUGCCCGUCAGUCUCCCUUCUCCCCGUGUCUAUCUCCUCUCCUGCCUCUGCGAGCUGACCUCCUGACCUCUCUCCCUCCCCACGUCUGCGAGCUUCACGCUUCCCUUCUCUCCGUAGCUUCACGCUGCCCAAAGGGCAGCCCUCUGCCUUCCACCAAUUCACGUUUUCUGCCUUUGUCCCUUUUUAUUCCUUUUUCUGCUAUCCUUCCCGCGUCAGUGCUCUCUGCUGCCCAGGGCAGCUCCUCCACCUUCCCGUGUCUUUAUUUUUUUAUUCCAUCUUUUUUUUUCCAGCUGCAAAGCUUUAGUUUUUUAUUUUUUUCUUUCCUCUUGUUCUCUGCUUUUGACUCCUUGGAUUCCUUCUCCGCGUCCAGCUGCAAAGCAGCUCUCUCUCUUGGAUCCCUUUCACGUUUUCUGCUUUUCUCUAUUGCUCACGCUGUCUCUCCACUUUCUUCUCCUACAAACACAAUAAAUUAAAAGUAUCAUAAAUACUUAAAGCUUUAACUAAAUUAGACAA